rnacentral:tRNA from 1 species
GCCCGUUAGCUCAGUCGGCAGGGCACUAGACUCUUAGUCUAGCUGUCGAGGGUUCGAGCCCCGCAUCGGGCU